AGCGAACGCUGGCGGCAGGCUUAACACAUGCAAGUCGAGCGGGCACUUUCGGGUGUCAGCGGCGGACGGGUGAGUAACGCGUGGGAACGUGCCCUCUGGUUCGGAAUAACUCAGGGAAACUUGAGCUAAUACCGGAUACGCCCUUUUGGGGAAAGGCUUGCUGCCGGAGGAUCGGCCCGCGUCUGAUUAGCUAGUUGGUGAGGUAACGGCUCACCAAGGCGACGAUCAGUAGCUGGUCUGAGAGGAUGAUCAGCCACACUGGGACUGAGACACGGCCCAGACUCCUACGGGAGGCAGCAGUGGGGAAUAUUGGACAAUGGGCGCAAGCCUGAUCCAGCCAUGCCGCGUGAGUGAUGAAGGCCUUAGGGUUGUAAAGCUCUUUUAUCCGGAACGAUAAUGACGGUACCGGAGGAAUAAGCCCCGGCUAACUUCGUG
rnacentral:rRNA from 1 species